UAUAGUGCGUAAGAGUGCAAAUCAGUACGCCGCUGGACUUAGCGAAAGGCAACCGUUUUCCGAAUGAAUACACGUGUAGAAGGCAAAGGUGGUACUACAACCAAUCAAAGCGCAGAAGCCUAAAACAGUGACAGAUGCGACAGUUGCAAAAAAUGCAAAUGCUACAUCCGGAAAGUCCCGUGUUAGGUCGGAAAAAGUGACAAGCAAGAAGCGAACUAAUAGGGAGAAAAAGGAGGGAAAGGAAGAAGAGCGGCCAACUCUCGAAAUAAGGGAACAGGUUAGCGAAAUAGAAAAGAGCGUACUGGCGUUCUGCAUGGACCCAAACAAGAAAGUUAACAAAAAGCAAACGACAACAAUCAUGAAACACUUCAAGGACACGCGAAACCUGCUGGGGGAGCUUCUGCUUUAGAACGGCUUUCUCACGGGAAAGUUAGAGCAGGACGCAGACGAAAUAAAGAAUCAAGGGUGCGCGAUACUGUGCGCAGUGAGCAAGUCGCUGCAAGCCAGCAAACUUGAGACAGUCGUUAAGAUGUCUUGCAAGAAGACUAAGAAAAAUCAACGGUAACGGUCUAACGGUAGAAACGACGAAGCCGGAAGAGCUUAAAGUGUUUACAGAAAAUGGGAAACUGGGCCAGCAUCCCACACAAGCGGAUGCUUCGGAUGAUAAUAUUUAACAUCCCAAGGGACGUGACGGAGAAGGUGAUACUGGUCUGUAUCAUGAAACAGAAACAGGACAGGCUGAAAGAAGAAGAUGCGGCAGUAAUGAAGUUGUGCUUCAGGACGGGGCGCAAGCACAACGAAGAAACCAACUGGGUAAUUGAGAUAUACCCCCAGGUAAGUGAAAAAUUGUUGACAGGUAAAUUAUUCAUUUCUUAGAAUGCAUGCAAAGUCCAGGAAUAUACAGCAAUCAGUCGCUGUUACAAAUGUCAAGGAUACGAACACAUGGCAAAGUAUUACCGCGUGAACUAUAAAAUUUGUGCGCACAGCACGAAGAAAUCCUGUUAAGAGCCUGCGACGUGGCCAUUCCAAAGAAGAAAUGGCACAAUAGAUCCGUACCAUGGUGGACGAAGAAGGUCACACUAGAAAAUAGAGACACCUACCGGCUAAGAAGGAAGUAUCGCGGGACUAAGGGCCCUGCAACGAGGGAACAAGAAAAGCUGCUGUACCGGCAAACCAGGUAGGAAUGCACCAGGUAGAAAAUGGCGAAGGCGAAGAUCCAGAGCUGACGGCAGUUCGUAACCGAAGAAGAUAACAAAGAGCCCUGGGUAGGGGAUUUUCUAUGAAACGGUGACCGGUAAACUCAGGAGAGAAGAGACGAUAUUCACACUGCGAACGCUACAAGGGGAUACCUCCAACUGACGGUCCACCGCAGCGGCGAUGCUGUGGCCCUUAUACCCGACGAACACCUUGAAGCGAAGCCAGUAUGAUUUGUAACUCGAGGUAUGGCGCGGUCGACCAAAAGGUCGGCCCAUGGAACGCACACAUUACUUGCUAGCAGGUUGAUAACUGACCUUAUAACAAAUCGAUACCAAGCCGUAACUUCAUUGCAGACACAUCGGCUAACCUAUUCGACAAGUCUGCUGAAAGCUUUCUGCUGAUCACGGAUUCGUUUGAAGCCAACUGUGACGCUCCUUCGACCAAUAUUCGUAGGUUCUUUCAACAUGAUCAAUGGAUCUAGAGGAUUAAACAAACUCGCUGACUUUUGGUGGCCAAAAUAGUAAGCGUGUAGUGCCAUAGAUAAUUACUAUAAUAUAAUAGAAAAUCAUUGUAUGAAUAAUGGAUACUUGUUCUAGGAACGAAUAUUAGUAUGCAUAGUCAUUUUAAAGAUAAUUGUUAUUACGUAUUGCUGUGAAUAAUUACUUUUAUUAUAAAUUAUUAUUAGGAAUUAUAUGGAUACACUCAAUUAGUUUCGUGACAGUAAGAGGAUUUACUGUUCCAUCUACUAAGAGCUUUAAGCUUUUACAAUGAAUAAUGGGGACCAUUCGAAGCAUCGCAGAUUGCAACUGGAACAAUCGCUGAAACUAUUAGUACUAUUGAAGCUAUCAGGCCUUCCAUGAAAAUUUAUAGGCCAAUAAAGCUGCUCGGAUGUUCAAACAAGUAUCAUACAGUUACUAGAAUUAAUAUGUAAUCUCGUAGAAACUUCUCGAGUAUUGACUAAAUAAUAAUUUCUUUCCAACUCGCGUGCGCUGCUUUGCCAGCUACUUCACGCAGGAUAUACAUAUAGAAUGGCAGAGAAAAUUAAUGAAAUUGUCUAAGGUGAGCAUCGAUCAAAUACUUUGACACAAGAAUUUAAAAAAAACUUGCUUAACUAGAGUUAACCAGUUCGACAUGUGAACUUGUUGUUCAUACGGUCAGCUAUCGGAUCCAACGUCCAAACAUGCUUACAGAAAGUUCACUGGAAUUAAUUAGCGUGACCAUAUUAAAUGUUUAAUCAACGAUUAUUCUCUGUCGUUCGAUUUCUAUUCGCUAUUACAAUAACCGCUAAUUUCACGUUACUGGCCAACUAAACUGCUUGUCCAAUGAAUUGCCAAUUCAUUAAACACCGAAGUAAAUCACGUCCUAUAGAACAGUACCCAUGGCAAAUAAUAUUGAAAGGCUGUCAGGUGACAUUUGAUAUGUUGCUGUAUGAUAGUCACAUUGACGAAUGAAUAGCGAUUAAUUUCAAUUAGGGGAUUAUUAGAAUGAAUAGCUGCACGUGAUUUAUGUCACUUUGAUUGUUGUAUUUGGGGGAUGCACUGUUGACUGUUUGGAGCUUCUAUGAAGUUACGUAAUGGGGUAUGUGUGUAUCGAAUCUGUUGGAGUUUAUUGAUUAGGGACUCUAACUUUUCUAGAAACUGGUUCAAGGGUGCCCUAGUAGAAAAUCGAAAAAUUUUAUCAGUACGUUUGAUAUGUCUUUAUGAAUCAAAAGGACCAUGUACAUUAUGAGUCCUGAUUCGUUCGUCUUUGAGACAUUCAUUUAUUUUAUAGUUUUAUCAUUACUUCAUCGAUGAAGAAGCCUAUCAUACUGAUGUCGUAAGCCUAGCUUACUUUCGUAUCGUUUCAUUCGUUCACCUUCGAUUUACGAUUACAAUACAAGUAUUGAUACAUUAAUUUAUUUUUCUAGCACAUAACGGGCACAAGUUCUAUGGUUCAACGGAACAGAGGAAUUACAAUAACGAAUAAUAGAUGUUUGCAAAACAUUUUGUUUAUGAUCUUCAUUAAUUAAUAAGAAAAUAUUCUCUUUCUUAAUUUGAAGGAUAAACAAGAGAAUUGAGAACAUUUUAAAUAUUUUGAACGACUUGAAAUAAUUAGGAAGAAUGUAUAUUGUCUUUCUUAAUCUAGAGUAUAAGUAACUGUACAUAUGCAAACUCACCUUAUUUAACUGCAAAAAAUUCACGUUACUCGACUUACCUGAAAGUAAGAAGAAAUAGAAACAUUAAUGGGUUAUGUUUAACCGCAGACAGGUAAUGUAAAAAACGUCGAUGGAGCUCAAAUUGACUGAUAGUAAAAUAGGUUUCUGAUGUAUCGUCAAUGCUACUUUAUGCGGAAUCUAUAAUAUCGACUAGUCAGUAAGGAAGAACGUUACAAAUUUUCACGAAGGGUUGUAGAAUUUACCAACAGCGCAGCGGAAGUAAUUUUUCGCAUAAAAUGAUGGGGAAAUUUGAAUUUCUUCGUAUCUUAUCGUUUUAUUUCUUUUCAGAUAUGUUUUAUUUCGUCUGCCAACCAUGUCUCCAAAUUUCUCCCAUUAUAAACCAUAUUAAGCAAUUCCACCCAAAGGUUACCAACAAAAUGGGGGUGAACGAUUAAACUGACAUUAAAAGAUCAAAACAUCGAAUCAUCGUAAACUACUGAAUAUCGAUGGAAUGAUUUUGAAGGGCUCUCGACGUAUACAUCGAGAAGUUUUAAUAGCAGUAUAAUUCCAGCAUUAUACGUCAAAAUGUUAAGCCCAUUAAUUGAUUCGUAGGGUACACGAUCUGCGUUUCAUUAUUAACCAUUUCGUUUCGAGCGCCGCUAAUAGGCGGCACCCGCGAGAUGACCUGUGGGUACGAGCGCCGCACAUAGACAGCGACCACGUGACGACUAUUAAUUAUUAUCAAACUAUUAUUUGACUAUUAAGUUGAAAUACCAAGAUUCGAUAGAAUCUAAAAUUCCCUAAUGUGUAAAAGAAAGUUUCUAAAUUAGGCAAGCACCAAAUUGGUACGAUCAUACGAAAUUAAGAUUAAAUGUCAACUGGAAAUCCGUUGAAAUCAGAUCGAGUCGAUCUGACGGAAGGCCAUCGCGGGAAUGUGGUGCGAUACGAGAGGCGUCCCCUGCGAUCAAUUCUUAACCGAGCGUUUACGAUACACCUGUGUUUACACGCUCACGUGCUAGCAACCUGAACCUAGUCACGUGUGCUUGAAAAUCAAUACGCCGCUGAACUUGGUCGUGUAUGCUUGAAAAUCGAUACGCCGCUGAUCUUCGUAAACCUCGUAAACCUCGGCAACGCGAAAUUGUUUCUACUUACGCAGCGGAGAGGACCGUCCAGGGAAUAUGUCUACGACGUUGCUUUAGCAAGAACGAAGUUAACUUUAUUGUUCACUUUAGAAAAUAACCUUGUUCCAGGUUCUAAUGCAUGGGCCCCAAAGAUGCUGGUGUGGCAUUGCACUCUUCACGCCCACCAGUGCCAAGUGCCAACUCCUCCUCCACGUCGGUGGGUCCUGGUAAACGCUGGCUUUCCAGUGGCUAACGGAGCAAUGGCUAUCCUAAAUAUCCUUCCUCUGUCCUGCUCCUUUAUCACAAUCCUUUCCUUGAACUAUGACUGGUGGUUCCGGAAAAAAAUGUCGACUAUACAAGGAUGGUGGCGUGGCUUGAAAACCCACGUUUCCCGAGGAAGAGAGCAGGGUGGCAUCGUGGCAUAAAAAACCAGGGGGUCGUCGCGGGUUAAUUACCCGCCGGACCUACGUCAACAGCUCUGGCUCGGGAAGGGACAUGAUAUGGUCCCGGCCGCGAGGCUGGGAGAGACAUUUUACUAAGGAGCCCGGGGGGUCAUGACUUUUCCCAUCUUUCUCCUACUUUUCCUCUUUUCCUUACCACCCAACGUCCAAUCCCUCAGGGGCUGCGGACUCGCUAGCGAGUCGCAGUACGGGAAUGCGAUCCCGAGGAACCCUAGCCCAAAUACCGUAUUCCAUUGGUCAUGUCUCAAUGGACCGGGGGUCCUGCUUUCAUCGGCCGGAUCGUGAGGAUGAUAACCUCUAUAAAAAAUCCCUAACCCUAAGCAGAGGUGCGCGGCGAUGGGGUAUCUCGCAGUCGAGGGCACUGCGAGGUGGCUGAUGGGUGCAUCAGUCAUUAGCGGUCAACCCCGGGGCACCUGGCGACCCCCCGGUGGUAUUAGCCCUCUGCCGGUAAACGGCUCUGCCGGUGGCGACAUCCUUUCCGCAAGACUCGCUGGCCCCCAGAAGCCUCGGUGGAUGGAGGCCGUACGGACCAGAUGAUACGCACUCCAGUAAAACGAGAAAACAAAAAGAGGGGGGAAAAGGAAGUGACGAGAGGAAGGGAGGAAGAGAAGUCGACUCCUGAGCCUGUGCAGGCAGGCGUUAAACAUAUAACGAGUCUGCAAACCGGGACGAUGACGUCCGAAAAAAUGUGGAGUAUCGUCAGGAAUCCCGAUGUUACAGCGCAGGAUCUGCAGGCGGUCCCUUUUAUGUACGUACAAGCGGAGAUGAUCCGGAGGGCGGGAGAAAUCUCCAUGGUGGCCGAAUGUAGCGACCUCGCGGAAGAGGAUGCUGAAAUACUCAGGAAGGCGGCGAGAACCAUCGUCACAUGCGUUGUUGAAGUUACAAUAAGGGCACUUCCCAUGAUCGUGAUGGAAAGACGGUUGGAGAUACUAGAAGCAGAGAACAAGGCACUCCGAAAUGAGGAUAUAAGGUGUUUCGACACGAUGCAGCAAAUGUUGACGGAGUUCUGUUGCUCGCUAACAAGAGUAGGUGAGGAGCGGGAAAAGGAGGUCUCCUCUGGCCUGAUUGCGAGACGGACAGAGACUAAAGUUUCAGACCCCCAAGUGCCGAGGGAAGUCCCUGGAGAGGGGAAAGCGGCUGCCAUGGAUCGGCAGACCGUGGAGAAAAAGGCGACAGGGAAGAAGAACAGGAAGAGACAAUCGAAGAAAAUAACUCCGGAGAUAGAGAAGAAGAGGAAAGCUCCGCAGCGAAGGUCAGAGAACAAGAAAAAAAGGAAUAGGAAACUGGCUCUUCCACGCCGUCCGCGAACAUCGGCGGUAACCAUAACGAUCAACAAAGAAACAGAUAAAUCUUACGCAGAAGUGCUGGCCACGGUUAGGAACAACAUCGACCUAGACAAGAUCGGCAUCAAGUCGAUAAAUAUGAGGAAGACAAUGACCGGAGGGGUCAUAUUGGAAGUGCUUGAGGAUCAAAAGAGGGAGAAGGCCGCCGCCCUCGCAGCACAGCUGACCAAGAUCCUUGACCCGGACUUGAUCCGAGUGGCGACACCCUACCGGACUGCGGAAGCAAGGGUGGUGCACAUAGAUAUUUCGCCCACCGCAGACGAGAUAAAGGAGAUCUUGGCGCAGGAAGGAGGAUGCAAGGUGGAGGACAUCCAGCUGGGAGAAAUUCGCAUCUCCGAAAACGGUCUCGGGUCCGUGUGGAUGCGAUGCCCAGUAGAGGCAGUUAGGAAACUGAUCCAGCUGGGCAAAGUAACCAUCGGAAGGUCAAGAGCAAAGAUCGAAGCCAUCGAGCAAAGACCUUUGCAGUGCUUUAGGUGCCUGGAGAUAGGGCACGUGAAGAAGUCGUGCACCUCGAAAGAAAACAGGGAGCACUUAUGCUAUAGGUGCGGCGUCCCCGGACACUUAGCCAAAGAAUGCACUGCAGCGAAGCCAAAAUGUCCGCUCUGCAAGUCGCGUGGGGCAUCGGCAACUCACAGGAUGGGGGGAUCGUUUUGUACCUUUUCGAGGAAAGGAACGAGAAAAACCAUCCUCAUAGCAAGCAAACUAAGCGAUGGGUCCGCGGUUAAAAACUGGAACAAGGAAGACUCGCCGCAAGAAAUCCCUGCCCCUGCACCUGCGAACAAGCCUUGCAUCUAGGAAACUAGACACAAGAUGUGCCUCCUUCAAACUAAUCUAGGGCGGUCGAGACGGGCGCAAGACUUGCUUUUCCAAACCAUCCGGGAGAGCACGGUCGCCCUAGCGGUUGUGGCUGAGCCGUACAGAGUGCUGGCCGCACCUCCUCCCUUGCAGUUCCAGGGGUCAGCACUUAGACGGAAAUAUAAACGCCCGAGAGUGCCGCACUCGAGGGAUGAUGCAGUCGAACAGGCGGCCCGAGAUGUUCGGGGAGCCGCCGAGGAAGAGGCGUGGGACCAAUGACGAUUUCAGCUGAUCAGGAAGGGAGCAAUGGUCUCCCCUAGCUCCGCAAUUAGUUGAUAGGAUCGAUAGGAUUGGCUCGACGAGAGGAUGGAGGAAGUGCACCGGGAUUAAUUCGUAGAAGGACGCGGGGCACUCCAAUAACACCGAUAAUUCGAGGAAAGGUUGCGUCAUAGCCUGCAGACAACGGAGAAGAGAACUUAGGCUAAUCUCGCGAGGUUAGGCUGGCAUUUCAGUUUCGAUUUCGGCCCAGUCAACGCAGUGAAUAUUCGUUCUACCUUCGUGCUGCGUUAUCCACCAUCUCGUCGUUGGUGUUAACGACCCAUCCAUGUUUCCACGUGGAAAGUGGCUUAACGCAGUGAGCUGGAUAAAUAAUUGGUUUUCAUCGUCGUUCUCCAACUCCAAAUUCAACCCAGUCCUGUUUGAUGCUCUUAUACUGCACGUUUAAUGGAAGCUGAUUGUAUCGUUACCCUAUGAACUUGCUGCAGUUAUCGAGUUUUGAUCGGUUGACCUGCGGUCUGGGGUUCCACUUCAAAUUCUACGUCGUAAUUGCCCUUCGCUCGACGAGCAAGAAUUUUAAGCGUGUUUGAUAGCUUCUGGCAUUGAAGAACUGAAUUAAGAAAAUAGUUUGUUUGACUAGAGUUCGUGCUUUCAAGUAAAAUUGAAGAAUAUGUGGAAUAAAUAUGGAAUAAAAAUUAAUAAAUAAUAAUAAGGGUCGUUGUGGCCAGACACACGUGAAAGGAUCUUUUGAGCAAUGAAUAUCGUGCAUUUUGAAAAUAUUAAUUUCUUGAAGAGUGUGUUACAUUAGACGUGGCAUUUCAUAGAAAUAUUAAUUUUACCUAUGAAAAAUAAAAAAAAACAACCCUUUAGGCGUUCUAUAUAUGUAACAACAGUUACAACACUAAUAUUUUUUAAUGGAACGGAUAUAGCCAAAAUAACUCAAUAUUUCAGUUAUCGUAACAUAUCGAAAACGUAACAUCGUCCAAACUUUACGAGUGAAAUGAAACGUUUGACGAUAAAAAAAAAGAAGACAAAUUUUACAGCACGACGAGGUAAAUGGCAAUGCUUAAUCAACUGAUGCGACCUCUUUAUACAAAACCAGUAUAACUAGCUCGGGGGAAAGAAACAGUAGGAUUCCCACUGGGGCAACGUCUGCCAGUCUAUCGAUUGACUGGUUCAAGAUUCGAGCGUUCGAAUCUCCGUAAUACCGUGAACGUUUGUCAUUAACUACGAACUCGAGGAAAGAAAUCGAUGAUUAGGUGAAACGGAAUAUUGGAAAAUAUCGGAAUAUUGGGAGGGGGGUUGCACCACGUCUGCGACUUAUUACAUUUAUUGUGAAUGAGACUAUUCUUUGAAAUUUACAACAUUUGGUAGUUAGAAAAUUGCAUAAAAAGAAAACAAGCUACGUUAAAAGAGAGAGAAAAUAAAAGGCCAAAAAUAUUUCAGAAAAAAUUUAUUUGUCUUAAUUUAAACUACAUUCAAGUGUGAGAUACUCGUGAAUAGAUUUUUGCAAUUGAAAAAUUUGAGAGAGCUGGACGGAAUAAUAAACUAAAUAGACCAAAAUAAAUACUUGGACCAAUUUUUCUACCCUUUGGAGAAUUCAUACGAUACUCUUUAACGGUUAAAAGAAAAUUAUACGUGACAAAUGAAAUUACUCGAGCGAUUCUCCUAAAUAAUUAAUUAACAGAGUUUCUCGUGAAAAGACUUAUUUGCUUGUUGCAAAUAAAAGUAAAGGGAGAAAGGGUGAAUUACGAAAGGCACUUUGUUGGUCCAUUGUACGAGCGGUGCCGUCUUCGUUAAUAAACAGACCACAAUUAUCGCGCUUGCCGCGGAAGGAGAUAAUUCGCGCGCAGUCGUGUAGAAUAACGACACCCUCGUCGUUAUUUCCACUUCUCCUCGAAGAGGAAACGACCUGCUUGCAUCGUGGUUUUUUUCGUGUUUGUGAAGCGCGAUCACGAUUACGAUACCAAAGUAGUAUCUCUUUAAAAGCGUAGGACAAAUUUUUUGACGCUUUUUAUAAAAUUAAUUUAUCGAUGUUCCUAUGUGAAUUUCCAUAAACAUUUUUUUUAUAUCUAGUAGCCCUCCUGUAUCAUCAGAAUGUUUUCCUACGUCUAAUACUUUUCCGAAAUUAGAAUUAGAAUUUCAUAUGUAUAUCUAGUAUUUCUUCGGAAUAAGAACCCUGAAUCGUUUGAAUCGUUUCCUGUAUUUAAUUUCCGUAUCUAAUAGUUAUUUCAAGUCGCAAUAACAAUUUAAUUGUAAUUAAUGUAAACGUAACGUAGAAUUGUGAAUGAUCAGAAUUUUCUCUAAUAUAUAACAUCUUUACAGUUUUCAAUAAAAUCGUCUAUUAUAUAUUAUUAUUUAUAGACAAUUAUAUCAGAUAAUAGACAAUCAAAAUAUA